GGUUAAGCGACUAAGCGUACACGGUGGAUGCCCUGGCAGUCAGAGGCGAUGAAGGACGUGCUAAUCUGCGAUAAGCGUCGGUAAGGUGAUAUGAACCGUUAUAACCGGCGAUUUCCGAAUGGGGAAACCCAGUGUGAUUCGUCACACUAUCAUUAACUGAAUCCAUAGGUUAAUGAGGCGAACCGGGGGAACUGAAACAUCUAAGUACCCCGAGGAAAAGAAAUCAACCGAGAUUCCCCCAGUAGCGGCGAGCGAACGGGGAGGAGCCCAGAGCCUGAAUCAGUGUGUGUGUUAGUGGAAGCGUCUGGAAAGGCGCGCGAUACAGGGUGACAGCCCCGUACACAAAAAUGCACAUGCUGUGAGCUCGAUGAGUAGGGCGGGACACGUGGUAUCCUGUCUGAAUAUGGGGGGACCAUCCUCCAAGGCUAAAUACUCCUGACUGACCGAUAGUGAACCAGUACCGUGAGGGAAAGGCGAAAAGAACCCCGGCGAGGGGAGUGAAAAAGAACCUGAAACCGUGUACGUACAAGCAGUGGGAGCACGCUUAGGCGUGUGACUGCGUACCUUUUGUAUAAUGGGUCAGCGACUUAUAUUCUGUAGCAAGGUUAACCGAAUAGGGGAGCCGAAGGGAAACCGAGUCUUAACUGGGCGUUAAGUUGCAGGGUAUAGACCCGAAACCCGGUGAUCUAGCCAUGGGCAGGUUGAAGGUUGGGUAACACUAACUGGAGGACCGAACCGACUAAUGUUGAAAAAUUAGCGGAUGACUUGUGGCUGGGGGUGAAAGGCCAAUCAAACCGGGAGAUAGCUGGUUCUCCCCGAAAGCUAUUUAGGUAGCGCCUCGUGAAUUCAUCUCCGGGGGUAGAGCACUGUUUCGGCAAGGGGGUCAUCCCGACUUACCAACCCGAUGCAAACUGCGAAUACCGGAGAAUGUUAUCACGGGAGACACACGGCGGGUGCUAACGUCCGUCGUGAAGAGGGAAACAACCCAGACCGCCAGCUAAGGUCCCAAAGUCAUGGUUAAGUGGGAAACGAUGUGGGAAGGCCCAGACAGCCAGGAUGUUGGCUUAGAAGCAGCCAUCAUUUAAAGAAAGCGUAAUAGCUCACUGGUCGAGUCGGCCUGCGCGGAAGAUGUAACGGGGCUAAACCAUGCACCGAAGCUGCGGCAGCGACGCUUAUGCGUUGUUGGGUAGGGGAGCGUUCUGUAAGCCUGCGAAGGUGUGCUGUGAGGCAUGCUGGAGGUAUCAGAAGUGCGAAUGCUGACAUAAGUAACGAUAAAGCGGGUGAAAAGCCCGCUCGCCGGAAGACCAAGGGUUCCUGUCCAACGUUAAUCGGGGCAGGGUGAGUCGACCCCUAAGGCGAGGCCGAAAGGCGUAGUCGAUGGGAAACAGGUUAAUAUUCCUGUACUUGGUGUUACUGCGAAGGGGGGACGGAGAAGGCUAUGUUGGCCGGGCGACGGUUGUCCCGGUUUAAGCGUGUAGGCUGGUUUUCCAGGCAAAUCCGGAAAAUCAAGGCUGAGGCGUGAUGACGAGGCACUACGGUGCUGAAGCAACAAAUGCCCUGCUUCCAGGAAAAGCCUCUAAGCAUCAGGUAACAUCAAAUCGUACCCCAAACCGACACAGGUGGUCAGGUAGAGAAUACCAAGGCGCUUGAGAGAACUCGGGUGAAGGAACUAGGCAAAAUGGUGCCGUAACUUCGGGAGAAGGCACGCUGAUAUGUAGGUGAGGUCCCUCGCGGAUGGAGCUGAAAUCAGUCGAAGAUACCAGCUGGCUGCAACUGUUUAUUAAAAACACAGCACUGUGCAAACACGAAAGUGGACGUAUACGGUGUGACGCCUGCCCGGUGCCGGAAGGUUAAUUGAUGGGGUUAGCGCAAGCGAAGCUCUUGAUCGAAGCCCCGGUAAACGGCGGCCGUAACUAUAACGGUCCUAAGGUAGCGAAAUUCCUUGUCGGGUAAGUUCCGACCUGCACGAAUGGCGUAAUGAUGGCCAGGCUGUCUCCACCCGAGACUCAGUGAAAUUGAACUCGCUGUGAAGAUGCAGUGUACCCGCGGCAAGACGGAAAGACCCCGUGAACCUUUACUAUAGCUUGACACUGAACAUUGAGCCUUGAUGUGUAGGAUAGGUGGGAGGCUUUGAAGUGUGGACGCCAGUCUGCAUGGAGCCGACCUUGAAAUACCACCCUUUAAUGUUUGAUGUUCUAACGUUGGCCCGUAAUCCGGGUUGCGGACAGUGUCUGGUGGGUAGUUUGACUGGGGCGGUCUCCUCCUAAAGAGUAACGGAGGAGCACGAAGGUUGGCUAAUCCUGGUCGGACAUCAGGAGGUUAGUGCAAUGGCAUAAGCCAGCUUGACUGCGAGCGUGACGGCGCGAGCAGGUGCGAAAGCAGGUCAUAGUGAUCCGGUGGUUCUGAAUGGAAGGGCCAUCGCUCAACGGAUAAAAGGUACUCCGGGGAUAACAGGCUGAUACCGCCCAAGAGUUCAUAUCGACGGCGGUGUUUGGCACCUCGAUGUCGGCUCAUCACAUCCUGGGGCUGAAGUAGGUCCCAAGGGUAUGGCUGUUCGCCAUUUAAAGUGGUACGCGAGCUGGGUUUAGAACGUCGUGAGACAGUUCGGUCCCUAUCUGCCGUGGGCGCUGGAGAACUGAGGGGGGCUGCUCCUAGUACGAGAGGACCGGAGUGGACGCAUCACUGGUGUUCGGGUUGUCAUGCCAAUGGCACUGCCCGGUAGCUAAAUGCGGAAGAGAUAAGUGCUGAAAGCAUCUAAGCACGAAACUUGCCCCGAGAUGAGUUCUCCCUGAGACUUAGAGUCUCCUGAAGGAACGUUGAAGACGACGACGUUGAUAGGCCGGGUGUGUAAGCGCAGCGAUGCGUUGAGCUAACCGGUACUAAUGAACCGUGAGGCUUAACCUU
rnacentral:rRNA from 1 species